UACGUAGGUGGCAAGCGUUGUCCGGAUUUACUGGGUGUAAAGGGCGUGCAGCCGGAGAGACAAGUCAGAUGUGAAACCCCGGGGCUCAACCCCGGGCAUGCAUUGGAAACUGGCGGGCUGGAGUGCCGGAGAGGUAAGCGGAAUUCCUAGUGUAGCGGUGAAAUGCGUAGAUAUUAGGAGGAACACCAGUGGCGAAGGCGGCUUACUGGACGGCAACUGACGCUGAGGCUCGAAAGCGUGGGGAGCAAACAGG
rnacentral:rRNA from 1 species